AGCGAACGCUGGCGGCAGGCUUAACACAUGCAAGUCGAACGGGCACUUCGGUGCUAGUGGCAGACGGGUGAGUAACGCGUGGGAACGUACCUUUCGGUUCGGAAUAAUUCAGGGAAACUUGGACUAAUACCGGAUACGCCCUUCGGGGGAAAGAUUUAUCGCCGAUAGAUCGGCCCGCGUCUGAUUAGCUAGUUGGUAAGGUAAUGGCUCACCAAGGCGACGAUCAGUAGCUGGUCUGAGGGGAUGAUCAGCCACAUUGGGACUGAGACACGGCCCAAACUCCUACGGGAGGCAGCAGUGGGGAAUAUUGGACAAUGGGCGCAAGCCUGAUCCAGCCAUGCCGCGUGAGUGAUGAAGGCCUUAGGGUUGUAAAGCUCUUUUGUCCGGGAAGAUAAUGACUGUACCGGAAGAAUAAGCCCCGGCUAACUUCGUGCCAGCCGCCGCCGUAAUAC
rnacentral:rRNA from 1 species